ACCUCGUUUCAAGGAUAAUACUUUUGUCUCUUGCCAUUUUUUUUGAUGCAUUAAUCUCUGUCUUUCCUUCAUUACUCCUUUUGAAAAGUCAGUCACAAUAUUGCCUAAUAAUUCCUUAUGUCCAAAAAUCCACAAAUUACUACCAUAUAUUCCAUAAGUCCAAAGAGAGAAUUCUUGAAAAGCAUUAAGCCUGUAAGUUUUUUCAGUUCGGGAGACAGCCUCCUGUAACACAAAUUCUGACCUUUCAUCCAAACUAUUUAAAGGAAACUUCUUUACAUCAACUUGUUUAUUCACAAUCAAAUCUUGAUAUUUAUCCAGUUUUGUUUGUAUCUCCUCCAUUGCAUUUAAGUCCUGAUCACACUGGUUAAUUUCCUCCAAGCCUUGAUCCAAAAAGUCCCCAUUUUUUAUCAGUUCGUAUUUUUGAAUAAUUAAAUACAUUCUUUCUGUGUAAAUCCUGUAUAAAGUCACGAAUCCAUUCUUCUGAAAGAAACUUCAUGACAAAGUUCUUGCUGAAAAUCCCCUUAUGAAAUACUUAAACAACGUAAUAUAAUCCACAAUCCAACACAAUAAGAUGAAGUCUCCAUUCAGUUUCGAUUUCGCAGCAAGGCUAUCGGUCUAUUUGCAGUUAGUAAACACCAUUUUAAAAGAAGGGAAAAAAUUUUUUUUUCUCUCUUUAAAAAAAGGAGGAAGUCAGAAAAUCAACAAUACUUGCAAACCAGUAAUUGUUCACUCAUGCUUCUUCCGUCUGCUUAUAGGAAUCCACAAAAAGAAAUCAAUUGUUAGCAGAACUUGGACACCUUCCUCUUUUCCUGCUUUUGCAGGAGACGCGCUAGAUACUGGAGAUAGGAGGAAUUCAAUGGGACUCGACCUUUCGGGACUUUGCAUAACAAAAACAAAGCCCCUAGGGGAAUCUACCACUCUCCCCCCUGCUCUUUCCCCUGCUCUCUCAACCAGAGAGGGAAAAUUAAGUCGGGAACAGCUGUUCGUAGCUGUUUACACCGGCUUUUACCAUAUCCAGUGCGGAGUGCCAUAAAUUAGCACCCAGCGAGAAAGGUGGCGCCAAGCGGAAGUCCAUAGGGAGUAAAUUUGAAUGCUCAUCAUUACAUUAGGGUUCUGUAGCAGUUUACUUCCAGGAAGUUUAUUUCAUAUUGUGUAUCUAAAUGUUUUGCCUCUUUUAACAAUCCUUGUGAAAUAUUUUCCUUCAACCCACAGCCAUAACAAAUAGUGAUCACGAGUAUUUACAUUUUAUAGAAAUCAAUUAUUUUUAAAAAUGUGUCAUCGUUCCAAUUUUUCUUUCAACAAGCUAAAAUCAAUAUUUGAAGAAAGAAAGAAAGAAAGAAAGAAAGAAAGAAAGAAAGAAAGAAAGAAAGAAAGAAAGAAGAAAGAAGAAAGAAGAAAGAAGGAAAGAAGGAAGGAACGAAUGAAGGAAGGAAGGAAGGAAAGAAGGAAGGAAGGAGGGAUUGAAAAUCAUUCUACUUAAACUUGACCUUGACACCUGGGAAUUCUUUAUUUGUUGGCAGCAAUACGGAAAUAGUUUGCUAUUUUCUUUUUUGGGGGGUAUAUUUUUAAACUUUUCAUCCCUUCCUUGGAAUUUCCUGGUAAUUUCCCAGUAAAAGCCUGAUUUUUUUUAAGAUCAGCUAAAACACUCAUUGAAAAGAUUUGUUGCAGCAUGCAUAUUGGAAGGAAUGACCUGAAUAAAUUAGAAAGGUUGAGAGAUAACAGCAAGAGUUUCAAUUCCCCUGCCCUACAUCUUGUGUCCUCCAAAUGGUUUGGACUUCCAUGUGUGCCCAAAGUUUUAAAACAUCUGAACCAACAAAAGUUGGGAAUGCUUUCCCAUGCACUACACUGGGUGUUGGCUUGACUACAACCUUCCUUUCUCAAGGUUGCCAUUGGUAGAACUUAUGUAUUCAUUUAACAGCAUUGACAAACAACAGAAGCAGAAGAUUGAAGUAAUGUCAGGAAGGAAUGGAAAUGGUUAGAGAAUGAGGAGGAGCUGUUCAAAGAAACACCAUUUUGAACAAUUAAAUACACAUUACUCCAUUUUAGUGCUGAAGACUUACAACAGAGAUGACUCACAUAUAUAGACUGUCCUCAUCUCUCUUGUCAUCCUAGCAAGGAACAGGAUGAUAAGCCUGUUAAUAAUUAUAAAUUUGUGGCCUUUUGAGUUCACUUCACUUUGUUGCAAGGAAGAGAUGGCUUUUGAAAAGCCAGAGCUGACAUAUUGAAAAGUUUAAAGCAUUGACGUGUGCCAUGUUUUACUCAUGGUUAGAUGGAUAGGACAGUUUGUUCCAGUUGUUAUACCUAUUAUGUAGACAAACAUGGAGUUAUGUUUACCACCAGCAGAAGUGAGAAAAAAGAGGCAUCUCAACCACACUUCCUCAAACACUGUUUCAAUGUAUAUCCCCUUUGCUAGCUGUUAAUCUAUGACAUUAAUAUCUUUGAUCGGUAUUUUACAAUCUUGGCUCAUAUGUUAUUUUAAAAAUGGUUUGCUUCUCCCGUUAUCUCCAUCAUUGAUUUUGCUGAUUGGCAUUAAUGAGUGCAACUAAAUCAGGACCUAUGAUCUGAUCCAGAUUUCUUUUUUUUAAUAUCUAGCAGUACUUUUUUAUUUUAUUUUUUUGUAAAGCGCUGAGAGAUUUUGAUAUUUUGAUGGUUCAUCAAAUCAGAUAAUUAUAUCAAUAAUAUAAUCUUCAGUUUGUUUCUUGGGAAAGUUCCAUGUUGUAGAUCAAGUCAUCUGUUAUCAAUCAAUGGCUUUACAAAAUGCGAGCAAUUUUGUGGUACUGUUCGAGAAAUCCAGAGCUUGUACUAUCUGGUAUGUUCGAUGAGAAAGGUGAAAUUAUGCUACAAAAAAAUAAAAAAGGAAUGCCAAACACAUGAUCCAUUGUUCCUCCUCUUGGGAUGGGCCUCCAGAUGUUUCUGAAGGACAACUCCCAGCAGCCCUAGAUGGGGAUGGUGGGAGUUGUCAUUCAGCAACAUUUGAUGAGUUGCACUUCCCCUAAACUUGCUGUAAGGAAUGAGCUCUAUAGGCCCAGCAACUGAGUUUCAGACUCAUUGAAAGCUUAGUCUAUGGCUUUCUUGUUUCUUUAUAUUCUGUGGUUCAAUAUUCUGACAUACUAGAUGCUGGCAUUUUGAAAACUAUCUGUUUUAGCAUGUUAAGGUAACGGCUGCAUGGCUCCACCUUUGUUUGGUCAGGUGUCAGCUCACUAACAUGAAUUAAAGCUCUAUUCAUUAUGCCAUUUCUUUUUACAUAGUUAGCACCUCUAUUUGAUUUUUUUUUUUACAGAACCUCCAGUAAUCUCACUGAAAAUAUUCCCUCUUCCAGUUAAUAAGUACUUUGGUAUGGUAUUGUCCUUUUCCUGUGAAAGACAUUGAUGAUUGUAUUUCCCUGACAUAACAGUCGAUUAGCCAUCUUGUCAGUACAUGCAGAGAUAUAAACAUUUCUGAACUCUGAGCAUUCCACUGUGUGAGCAAGAUAUGAAUGAUAGACAGCUGCACCAAUCUUUUCCAUCUAUAAAUCAUUUUGCAGAUAUUAUAAAACAAGGAGCCUUCCUGAUUGGAUGAAAAAGAAAUGAGAGAACAUAUAAUUUUUCGUAUUUCUUACUCAAAUGAAUUGUUAUUGUGAAUUGGCAACUCUGCUUAAGUAUCAAUGUUUAUGUCCUCUCCACGGAAUGGAGUACAUAGAGUACCCAGAGUACAUACUCUGACCUACGAAGGGACACAGGGCAGAAAACAUCCUGCAACCAAGAAGGUUCCACAUCCAUUUGUGACCCUGAGGAGACUCCAAGUGGUAUCAACUGCUGCCUAAAAGAAUGCAAAUGACCAUCUGUCUGCAAGGAAUAUAAAUCCCCACAAUCCAGUCAGAACUGGAGAAGCUUCUUGAAUGAGAAGUGAAACAUCUUCAAAACAAAAAACAAGGAAGUCCAGUUGCCUCCAGAAAAAGCAUCUUUGGGAUAUAUGCAUAACUGCCAUUGGGCCCAUACCACAGAUCAUUCAAAAGUGUGACCAGUUCUGUUUCCAUUUGAAUUCUGAUCUACUUUUUUGGCAAGAUGGUGGGGAAACCUGUAGUUAUUGUUAGUUCUGGUACAUCUUUCUGUUAAGAUGAGGGUGGUUCCAUCUGUGUGGUUAGUGGGAGAGGCAGAUAUGGCGGAGGGGGGGGCGUAUCGAGAGUUGGGAGCACGUGUUUGAUGUCUGAAAGCGAUCACGUGCUCCGGCCCCUCAGUUCCUACCCGUUCCUCGGGCGGCCAUGAUCCUCAGAGCUUGGAUCUUCGGUUGAUGUUAUGUAAUGCCCGGUCCGUGGCUAAUAAAGCUCCCCUGAUUUGCGAUCUUAUUCAGGGGGAGUCCGCAGACCUUAUGGGCAUUACAGAGACCUGGUUGGGUCCAGAGGGGGGGGGGUUCCCCUUGUUGAGCUGUUUUCUCCAGGUUUCCGAGCAUUUCAUCAGCCGAGGGCCCAAGGUAGGGGU